rnacentral:tRNA from 1 species
AAGAUGUUAGUAUAACAAAAAUACUCUGCCUUGUCAAGGCAAAACUGUGGGUUGAACCCCCGCACAUCUUG